GUUUAGAAAAACACGGCCUCUAAGACGAUGAACGUCCUUUGUCCUGCAGCCUCUGCGAGAAACUCCGUUGCUGCUUUUCAUGCAAUGCAAAAAAGCUUAACAGCCUAAAAAACUGCCAGUGCAUUAAACUCUUUGAAAUGCAAAUCAUUUUAUUUCAGGUAUUUUCUACAGUGAGGAUUUAGUGCAGCAACGUGCAUUUUUAUGCCUCUGUUUGUUGAGGUUAUUACCAGAUAAAGGAGCUUCCACACUGCUGAAUACUUCAUCUGCUAGUGUAGCAGAACAUGGACAGAGACAUCAUGAAGCAGCUAGUAGAUGCAGCCUUAAAAAUGCACACAGAAGCUAUGUUCCAUCGAGACAUCAAGGCUGAAGAUCUGCUCGUUCAAACCGACUCCGGUGACCAGUGAGAACCAGAAUGUGCGCACCUUCAGAAUUCUUCACAGCUGCUGGUCGCUCCGCUAUAGGAAAAGUUGGACGAAGAGUGACAAUUUACAACAUCCUCUGUGGGACAAUUUAUUUCAGUUGUGAGAUGUCCCAUGGUUAACACUGUAUGGAACAGUUUCCUUGAAAAAAAUUACUGCAGUUUCCAUCUUCAUCUGGGCUUUGUUUUCUGUCCUCCCUCUAACCAGACUGCCAUAAUUUUUUGGGGCUAUGUUGACGUUGAAAUCCAAGGAAUUGGGCCACUUUGGCAGAAAUCUAGUAGCACCCAUGGUUCCAAAACACAACUACAAUCACAUCUCAGCUUCACCUUUGGAAGUUAAGAAUCACCUUCGGAGAGGACUAAAUAAGCCGGCCCAAUUUAGAGCAACAAAUCAUCUCC
ensembl:lncRNA